CCGGAGGGGCGGAUUGCCGGGAAAAACCAGGAAGAGGGGGCGGAGCGGGGGCUUGGCGCCUGCCACUGCUGCGUGGGCGUGGGCCGACUUUGAUACCCAGCCACACUCACGUUUGUAGAGGAGGUUCAUUUACAAUGACUUUCCCAUCCAGCGUUUUAUCUGAUCUCACAGCUACACGGCCCCUGUGGACCUGUAUGAUACCUGAAGAUUUCACAGCUUCAGAAGUGCGAUUGAUUAACUCAAAGCUGGAAGAUCUCCAGGAAAAGCUGUGUCCUUCUCGCACUUUUA